rnacentral:rRNA from 1 species
UACGAAGGGUGCAAGCGUUACUCGGAAUUACUGGGCGUAAAGCGUGCGUAGGUGGUUUGUUAAGUCCGCUCUGAAAGCCCGGGGCUCAACCCCGGGAGGCGGGUGGAUACUGUCAAGCUCGAGUCCGGAAGAGGCGAGUGGAACUCCUGGUGUAGCGGUGAAAUGCGCAGAUAUCGGGAGGAACACCGGUGGCGAAGGCGGUUCUCUGGGCCUUACCUGACGCUGAGGAGCGAAAGCGUGGGGAGCGAACAGG